rnacentral:lncRNA from 1 species
GUAGUUCUAGGCAGCUCAUUCAGUUGAGACUACCGAAUUACGCAGAGAGCAAUCAGUGGGCACAGGGUUACCGAGCCUGCUUUCAGCCCCUUUCUGACCCAGGCUUCCCUCGUUUUCCUGGUGUGGCUGUAGCCCGCUCUGCUGCAGCACGAGUGAGGAGUGUAAGGACUUCUUCCCGGCUUUGCUUAGGGGAAACAACCGUCUGCCCAUUCUCCUGGCUGUAUUCAUCUGCUCUGUCCUGACGUGUGUGGUCAGUCUGAGCAGAGCCCCUUUCCGAGCCAGAGAAGUGCUGCCAAGUGUGACACAGAGGGCGAGGAGGCAGGUGCUGGUACAGUCCUUACCGCUUCCUUCGUAGGAGAAGUCCCAUGCCCAGUUACCUCCGGGUAGGUCCUCCUGCUGCGUCUCUCUCAGCUGUAGCUGCUUUUCUCCCUCAGAUGCAAAGGAUUUGAGAACAGGCAGCAGCAGCUGCCUUUGGUAGCACCAAAGACACUUGGUGACACCUGUGGUGCAGCACCGAGCCGCUUGGUGCUGCUGACAAGGGCGUUGAGAGGUGCUGUGCUUGCCCUCCCGCAGGGAGGGUAGGAGUGGGGAUGUCUGGUUGUGGUGGCCGCUGUCCCCUGUCGUAGCGUGGCUGUGAGCUGUGUGUGUGUCAGGGGAGCGCUUCCCCCAGUACAGGGGCUGCUUGCUCCCGAGCAUACUUGCAGCCACGCCAGCACUUCUACCGAUCUUACUGCCCAUGUACCGAAUGUUUAAAACCCCCAAUAAAGAGGGCAGGAAUGGUCACAGCAGACCUGCCCCUCAAGGGCCCUGAGCACCUGGUGCCUGACGGGCAGCCCAGGUUCAGGUGGGCUCCGGGCCACGGCCAGCACAGCUGAGAUGCGGGACGAGCCCUUGGCUCUCUGCUCUCAGCAGAGCCGGGGGAAGGGAGGUGUGAGCCAGAGGUGGAGGUGUCUGUGGUGCUGCUGGUCUGAGGAGGCCGGUAGGACGUGGGUCGUGGUUCGUCAGAGCAGCUCACAGCCUGUGUGUUUGCAGAGCUUUUCUCCGGUCUCCUGCCUGUGGCUUUGCCUCCUGGGGCUUUGUCUCUGUCUCCAGUGCCUGAUGUGUCUUCCAGCAAAUAGCACAUGUUUGCUGGCAUAUGGACCUGCUUGUCUCUUGCUUGCAGGUGUUGCUGUGCCUCUCUGUGGAAUCCAACACCAUGGAAUAAUUGUUUCCAGGGGGUUUCUUUACCUUUGAG